GAUGCUUCUCUGCUAUCAGUUAUGGACCUCCAGCAUCUGAUUGCUCUGAAGAUUGGAUUCAGUAGAUGGGAUUGGGAAGCCUUACUCCACAAGGGUUUACCUGCGUCCAACCCUAAACACCCCCACCCUUGCUGCACAUGGCCCAUUAUAUCCCUAUGCCUCAAUGCUGAUUGAGCUUGUUUAACUGCCUGUUUUGGGUUCCACUUCCUCCCUGCAUUAACUGUGGGUGCAACCCUCACCACUGGAUCCUUGGACUGAAUUUCAAUCAAGGAGAACCAAAGGCUCAACUGAAACCUUUUCCAACGUUCAUCAGUGGCCUGGUGUGUCUGAUCCUUGUCCUGGGG